rnacentral:rRNA from 1 species
AUUGAACGCUGGCGGCAGGCCUAACACAUGCAAGUCGAACGAGUGGCGGACGGGUGAGUAAUGUAUGGGAAACUGCCCAGUGGAGGGGGAUAACUACUGGAAACGGUAGCUAAUACCGCAUACCAUCAGAUGUGCCAAGAUGGGAUUAGCUAGUUGGUGGGGUAACGGCUCACCAAGGCAACGAUCCGUAGCUGGUCUGAGAGGAUGACCAGGCACACUGGAACUGAGACACGGUCCAGACUCCUACGGGAGGCAGCAGUGGGGAAUAUUGCACAAUGGGCGAAAGCCUGAUGCAGCCAUGCCGCGUGUAUGAAGAAGGCCUUCGGGUUGUAAAGUACUUUUAGCGGGGAGGCGGUACCCGCAGAAUAAGCACCGGCUAACUCCGUGCCAGCAGCCGCGGUAAUUC